AUACCUUUCUCGGCCUUUUGGCUAAGAUCAAGUGUAGUAUCUGUUCUUAUCAGUUUAAUAUCUGAUAUGUAGGCCAUGCGCCUACUUUGAUAUUAAAUUUAUUUUUUAUGGGGGAGGACUCGCAACAGUAGCUUGCUACUGGGGUACUCGUGUGUCUACCUAGCGUUGCCCUACUGCUUGGGCCUGGCGCACCCCAA
rfam:Oryza brachyantha chromosome 2, whole genome shotgun sequence.